rnacentral:misc_RNA from 1 species
GGAAGUAAAAGACGUAACAAGGUCUCCGUAGGUGAACCUGCGGAGGGAUCAUUACCGAGCUCAUGCCCUUACGGGUAGAUCUCCCACCCUGUGUUAUUAUUACCUUUGUUGCUUUGGCGGGCCGCCAGGCUCCGGUCAGGCUAUCGGCUUCGGCUGGUAAGCGCCCGCCAGAGGACCCUAUAUCCUGAUUAUUAGUGUCGUCUGAGUACUAUAUAAUAGUUAAAACUUUCAACAACGGAUCUCUUGGUUCUG